rnacentral:rRNA from 1 species
GACGAGGGGUCCUAGCGUUGUUCGGAAUCACUGGGCGUAAAGCGUAUGUAGGCGGGCUUUUAAGUCAGGUGUGAAAUCCCAUGGCUCAACCAUGGAAUUGCAUUUGAAACUGGAAGUCUUGAAUGUGGGAGAGAUUGGUAGAAUACCUGGUGUAGUGGUGAAAUACGUAGAUAUCAGGUGGAAUACCGGUGGCGAAGGCGGCCAAUUGGCCCAACAUUGACGCUGAGGAGCGAAAGCGUGGGGAGCGAACAGG